UGUUUUAGGUUAAUGCUCCUCGAAACCCAGAAAACGCAAAAUUUUAAUCCAAACGGACCAAAACCCAUAUGACUGUUCUAGCAGAACUUUUUGAUGUUUUAGGUUAAUGCUCCUCGAAACCCAGAAAACGCAAAAUUUUAAUCCAAACGGACCAAAACCCAUAUGACUGUUCUAGCAGAGCUUCAGGUAAGUAUCAUCUCUUUUUUUUUUUUCUUUUUCCUGCAAAAUCAAGCAAUCUAGGGAUGUUUGAGUUCUUUAUCGUUCAAGAUUCAGCUGAAUUUUUAUUUUUUCUUCUGAUUUUUGGAGUAAUCUGAAUUCAAAGGCUCUUAAUAAAGAAUCUCGCUUUGUUGUGAUGAACACUCAAAUUGCUCCAUGGCAAGAAACCCCACUACCCCAGUCUCCAUUAAUGUACUUUUGGAGAGAGAAAGAUGAAAAUUGAGUGUUGAUGCCUUCGCAAAGUCUUAUCCAGUUGACUUGUAUCAUUUUUGCGUGCAGUGAUCCCAAAGUAUCUCUCUUUGUCAUGGCAUUUUGGUGGGUUCUUAGAUUAGAUUUCCUUGAUUUGGUCAUUAUUUUGUUUUGAAGUUGAAAACUUUUUCAUGUGCUAAUUUGGUAUUUUUUUUUUUUGGGUUGUGAAUGUGAAGUCAUGUUGAUUGGUUCGGGUCAUCCAUUAUACACCGGGGUGUAUUUAGCUGUCUAGAUACACUUGAGGCUGUUUUUUUGCUCAUUUGUAACUCUCCCAUUCGGCUCAUUUCGCCCGUUUGGAGCUCUCUGAAUGAGAGAAAAAAUUAUUUUUGGAGAUUUUGUACUUUGUCAUUGGUAAAGCUAAGAAAAGAAGUAGGAGAUGACUAGAAAAUGAAGAAGAUUUCUCUUCUCUCCUCCAUCCCUCUAUUGAUUUUAUCAAGGAAAGAAAAGAAGGUGAAAAAGAAUGAAAUUGUUUUCUAAGCAUGAACUUAUAUGAACUUGUGUUUUUUCAUUGGAUAUUCUGCUGUAUUUUCAUUGAGGCGUAGGUGUAAGUGAAUGUAAUGCAAUGGACUGAGAUUUGUUAUAGAAAUGUGUCAACUUGGUUUGCUGGUCGGUUUGAGUUUUGGCUCUAUGUAUCACUUCUCAUUAUGGCGAAUUAUACUUACCGUCUUACCGAAAGACAAUGCAGGCAUGAUUGGUUUAUAUUUGUUGAUAGUUUAGUGGAAGCAUCCUGCAAUGUAUUGAGGGUUUCAUUGAUGCCUAAUUAGUCCGGAAUCAGGAUUGAUAUCCAUUCUCCUUAUUCUCUAUUUGUUUGUUUGAUUGAUGGCAUGGACCUUUACAAAAUUACAGUGGUAUGAUGGGCAUCUCUAGAAUAUUAGGAACGGCUCUGACUUUGAACAAAACAGUACUUUAGAUUUUUAGGUUUUUAUGUCUACGAGGCAAAGAGAGUUUCUUGAUCACUGCCGCAAGAAUGAUAUGAGUCGUGGGCAAGUGUCGUGAACUCGUGAUCCACGUAUAUUCAGCACUUCUUACUGUAAGAAACGGAGAGAAAGUCAUUCCAUGUGUUAUUUGUCAGUAUGACUAUUGACUCGGUUGACCUGUACGAGGUAUGUAGCUUCUCCAGCUAUAAUAAAAAUCUUCCUUUCUUUGCAUCACUCAUGGAACAGACAGGCAUGGUGCACCCUUUUUGGUAAUAGUAAUUUGGGCUCGAUCAUGUCUUCUGCUAUAGAAGUUCAGAAGUGAGAUAAUAAACCUUUUCUUGAAACUUUCACAAGCACUGCACAAACAAACAUUUCACCCCCCCCCCCCCUCCAAAUAUAUGAUCCAUUUGAUAUGGUAGUCCAGUUCUCGGUUCCAUGCUGUUAUUGCAUUUUGUUUAAAGCUCUCCUUGUAUUGAAUGAGGUUGCAUCAUGAUUGCUGGUCUCCUUAAUUCAUACAUGCACUUAGUUUGUUGCUGGUUAGUAUGAUUACUAAUGUUGCUCGACUAAUUGCUAGAUUUUCCUUCUUGAAUAAGUAAUGAUCUACAUGGAUGGAUUGUUAUUGAAUUAGGUUAAGUCAUGUUUGUUUGUUUACUUAGUUCAUGCUGGUUGUGAAGAAUGUGAACAAUCCAAUGUUUGGAUUGAUGCCUUUGGUAGUUGAGUAGUUUGUAUUAAUGGAGUUGGGGAUGUUUGCCUGAUUUCCCUACUUGAUUAAUAAUUAGUCCUCACCGAUGGACUGUUAGUAACAGCACGGACAAGGUGGAUAUUUCCAGCUUCUGUUUUGAUUCAUCUCUAGGUUAAGCAUUGAAUUAGCGCAAAGGAGGAGUUAAAUUAAAUGGGUCGGAAGAUGGAUACUUAUGCCAAUAGCUGGUUGAUCAUAGUUUUUCUUAGGUAAGUGGUUAUAAUUGCUUGGUAUUCGUUUAUGUCAAGAUAAGUUAGGCAGUAGAUGUCAAUUAAAGAGAUCAGGAUAUGUUAUUAUAUUUCUUUUCCUGGCAUAGUGGUAAGUUGGCAUACUGUCAAAGGUAUCAAAUCUUUCUGUGGACUUGCUACAAAUUAUAUCCAAAGAAGGGAAAAAGUAGAAGAAAUAGUGUACUGAAGUCUAAUAAACUUUCCAUAAUCAUACACUUAUAUCCCAAUUGGUAGAAGGUACACCCGGUUGCACGUAGAACUACAUGCAACAGGUUCGUUUAUACUUAUAACCCCUCAAAAAGCAUAUUUUUAUAGUUUACAAGCACACAUAUACAAAUUAAAGCACUUUUUACAGUUAUAAAGCACAUUGUUACAGAUGAAAAACAAAGUUUUGCAAGUAAAAGAAAUGGCAGAGAUAUAUAAGUAUGUGCUUGUUAAUCAUUAAUCUUCUUUUAAAUCGUUAAUGUGCUUUGAAACUGCAAAAAAAUGUCCUUUUAGCCCGGUUGCAUGUAAAACUACAUACAAACGGGUGCACCUUCUAAUUUGUGCUUAUCAAUAUCCUACUUCCUUUUUGCCUGAAAUCCGGAUUCCCUAAGUUUGUACUUUGUAGGCAUUUAAUAUGUUUACCUAAUAGUCAAGCAUAAUACUAUGUAUUAUGUUUAUCUCAGUAGUAUAUCUUUUCACCUCAUUUAACUUCCCACACCCAUAAAAAGAAAAAAAAUCUAAAAUGUUUAUUAAGCUAGAGGUGAUAUCUUGGUAGGAUGGGUGGAGUAGAGAUAACUCGAUAAGAGGGGGGAAGUGCGGCUCCUUGUUCAACUUAGGCUUGAAUCCUUGAGCAUUUAAAGCAGAUUUAACUGCAGAAAGUCCCUAUGAAAAAAAUGGUUGAUGAGGAAGGGCAAGUAGCGUGCAACUUUGGGCACAGUGUCUAUUAACAAUUAUGAAUCUUAUAUUUUGGUUCUGGAGUGCUAACUUGCUUUUAAAUACAAUUCUUGUCAAAGUUGUCAUUUGUAUUUUUUUUCCCUCUAUGUUCACAUUUAAGAUACUAGGAAGACGAGCAUCAUUCAUCAUUAUCAUUACCCCCAUUGCUUUUAAAGAGGCUCCCGCAAUAAGCGGGGUAAGCGGGGGUCGGAUGUAGGUAGCCUUACCCCUACAAUUGCAAAGAGACUGCUUCCAAUUGACCCAUAAGCGAUAACGGGACGACCAUCUUUUACUUCAUGGAAAGGAAGCAAAGAGGUUUUGAGAGUGAUAACUAGGACAACGAGCAUAUUGAAAAAAAUCAUUUAACGGAGUUUCAGAAAAGUAAUCAAUAUGUUGCUAAUAUGAUGGUACCCUUAGAUUUUUGCUAACAGUAAUUGAUCUUGUUUCUCAUCCUGUACCUAUAUACAUAUGCUAGAGUUUAUAUAAAAAAACUAUUUAUUGGCAGGGGAAAGCCUUUAGGUUGGUUAGAUGAAAAACUUAGAGAGUUUAAGUCAAAGCCUGCGCAAACUACAGUACUCGUUAGUGACAGAUAGCUAGAUUUCUCUCAAGUUGCAACAGAUAGAUAGUAUAGGAUUUACAGCACUGUGCAGCUUGUUUUAUUAUGCUUGUGGUAAAUCUAAGUAUUAUGUUGGACCUUUUAUUUUACUGCAGAGAGCAAGUAGUGUUAUCCUUCUGCAGUUAAUGUCAUGGUGAGUUAGAUUUUGCGUUGAUUUGGUUAUGUUCUUAAAAGGGCUUGUGUAGUUUACUAUAUUAGCUAAACAUGAAAGUUCUGCUUUGAUCAUUUGGAGGAUUCUGACACUGCACUAAAGAAAUUGUACAAUGUCAGAUGUUUUUGAAUGAAUAUAAGCCUUGUCGGUAAGGAAAUCAGUGCUAGCCUAAUGUUGUACUAAUUUGGCUUCUGUUAUUGCUGCAUUUAAUUUUUAAAAUGUUUUUUAGAGUCUGGAUGUUUCUUUUUGAUGAUUGAGCUUAUUGAUGUCAUUUUGUUCCAUAUGAUGAUAUAUUGGCUUGAUAUGUUAUUCAUGUUCGUUUUUUUUCAUUUGGUUAACUGUUGUAUCAGAUAUGCCAAACAUUCGGUUGGAGAUAGUAAUGGUGCAAGUCUAUUGCUUUGGCUUUGUGCCUUCGUGUAUAGUUGUAGAAGCUAAUUACAGGUUUUUGUUUCGGGAAGAGGAAGGGGUGAUGGACUGAUGGGUUUAAUCUCUGAAUGCCAGACAUUAAUAUUGGCAUAUGUUUCCUAUACUUGCAACGUAAACUAUCCGUGACUAAGAUUAUUCAAGGCAUGAAUUUAUAAUACUAUGGCUUUGUGUUGAGAAUGGUAUACGGAGUACCUUUUUGUUAACGUAAAUUGUGACUAAAUGUGAACUAUGGGGAGACUUGUGAACUUGUGGAAGAAGGAAAUGCAGCUCCAUGUUCAUCUAAAGCAGUGUUUAUUUGCAGAAGUCCUAGUUGAUUAAGAAAAAUGUUGUGGAUAAUUUUUGGCUAUAUAAUGUUUGUUUGGAUCUUUUACUCUGCAUCUUUACCCAGUGGGUUAAUGCUACAUUUUGAGGUUGACAUAUAUGUUAUACAUCUAACAGUCUACUUGGGAGUUGUGAGUUAAAUUUUACGUUGAUUGAGUUUUGUUCUUGUAAAUGCUUAUCUACUUUUUCAUUGAAGUAUUAUACUUGUAUAUCUUUCUACAACGAGUAAUUUAGUUUAUUAUGCCGGCUAAACAUAAGAUAGCUGCUUAGAUUAUUUGGAGGAUCUAAAAAAUGGUUGAAAAAAUCACUGCACUAAAACGUUAUGUGACGUCAAAUUACCUGUACGGAUUGGAUGAAGGUAGAUGGUUGCUCUCUCUCUCUCUCUCUCUCUCUCUCUCUCUCUCUCUCUCUCUCUCUCUCUCUCUGUCUUAAUGUUGAAGUAGGUAGCUAAUUGAUGGGCAGUGUCACUGUGUGAUCAGUAAUUCAUUAAUUCUAUUUGUUCUUAGUUUUUGGGGUUUCAGCUUUAAUUUGCUGAUCUAGAAACUUGAUCGCUCAUGGACUUGAGCUGACAGUAGGAUCAAUGGAAGAAUUAUAUGGCAGAAGAGCACUCAAUAUACGAAAAUUUGAUCUCCUCGGUUCUCAAGGUAUGUAUAUCUAUGUUUUUAAAGACCAAGGUAUAGGGUAUAGCUACUGUAAAGCUAGGAAUAAUCGACUUGGAAAGCAUUUGUUUGAAUAUGUUAAUUAUAAAUUCCAUUUCUGCAUUUCAUUUAGUUGUUGUCAUCUAAUCAUGCAACCCUAUUUGGUGUCUAAUGUGAAUCAGUGUUCUUAUUUUCUCCUCUAUAUGCAAGUAGCGAGCCAAUAAUUUAUUAGGUUUUUACUCCAUUAUCUGUAGAAAGGUUUUUGAAUUUUUGCACUUCAUAAUCUACAAUACUCACUGACUUAUACAUAUAGGCCUGUAAAUUACAAUCACGACACUUACUUCAUUAUCUAAAGUUUUGAGGUUCUUGUUGAGGGGUAUAGCUGAGGUUGGAAAACCUAUCCUUCAACCGUCCUUAGACAUCAGUAUAUCACAUCACAAAUAGAGGGCUAAGUUCCUCAAAUACCGAACAUUUCUUUCACGUCAUGUAGAUUGCGGACUGCAAUGUUAUCAUCUUUCCGGACAACUAUCUGCUACAUUCUUUUGUUAACAAGAAUGUGUAAGUAGCGGAGAAACAUCUUAAAUCUUAAGUAUAUUUUAACGGAAGUAGGUCUGUGGUAAUUAUCUAUAUCUGUUUUGAUUUUUUUUUUUUUUUUGGUUUUGACAGUCUUAAAGGGUAAAAGUCAAGUUCAUUGAGAUUGAAUCAUGCUUUUAUGGUAAGCAAUUUCUUGUUUCACAUUGGUGAUAUUUGUUACCUUCACAUUCACACCUCAAAGGAAUUUCAGAAAUGGAAGCAUAUCAUCUUCUGAUUUUUUCAAAAAUAAUAUUCCGUAUUGUGUUUUUAAAUUUUGUUUUUUAUGUAAUCAAUGGGGUGCUUAAAAAAAUUUAACCUUUCACAUGUAAAAUACUAUCUGUGUCAGUGUCAGCAUGAUGUGGCAAUAACAAUUGAAAACCCUAUAUAAAGAGGAUCACACAUCUCUUAAUCAGUGUGCUUCUCUCUCUCCCUCUCUAUCUAUCUCUCUUUUUCUUUGGUUUUCUUUGUUAUUGUUCUUCAGAGUAGCAAGUUAGCAUGAAGAAGAAAAGAAAGAAGAGAGCUAUGCUCCAACAUAUAUCAUAUUGCUUCAGCAAUUCACCAAAAUAGUCCCUAUCGUAAUGGAGAUGUUAUUCAGGGAGACGAACUCUUUGUCACGUGUUUUAGAUCUCAACAAUGUGCUAAUCACCUGAUUCUUCUUCAAAGUAAUUCCUCAUAAAUGCUCAACAUUGCUGGUGUUGCGUUUGGAACUUGUGUAUUUUAUAUCUUUUUUACAUAAGGGAAGCCAAAAUGCCUUCACCGUUUCGGAUGGAGUAAUUCUGUAGAGGCCUGAUCACUGCGAUUGCUCAAGAACAAGAUUAAGAAAAGAAAUGAGCAAAGGAUGUUGAUAAUAAUGAAGAAUUAAGUGAUGAUCAAGAAUGUUAAGAGUUAUGGUAUAUCUAGGGUUCUAGCAGAGUUGUGUUAGUUUGGGAAUCUAAUAGAGUCCUAAACCUAAUUUCCUAUAAUAACACAACUCUAGUUUCCUAAACAUACUAGAACCUUAGAUAUACCAUAACUCUAACAAAGAAGAAGUGUGAGGAUGUGAUUAGGCCGUUGUUUGAGUCUGAUGGUGAACAAGAUGAUUUGUUCUGAGGCAUCAAAUGAUGAGGUUUUUGAGGGUCAAAACUCAAAAGCAAUUGUGGGUUUUUGAGGGUUCGCGAAAUAGGGAAGUUCUGCCUAAAGGUGAGAUUAUUUUCGAACAAUUGAAGACUGUUUUAUGAAGAUCAAACAAAUGUACGACUUAAAUAAUUAUAUCUUCCUAUAUGUAUAUUUAUUUACUUUUUUAUUAAGGAAAUGCCUUCACCA